UGUGGCUUAGUGGUUAGAGUAUUUGGCUUGCAAUCAUAGGGUUGUGAGUUCGAUUCCCAGCA
rnacentral:tRNA from 1 species